UAGAAGGGGAUGUGUGCACUGUGGCCUGGUUUUGAUGCCGAUGAGUCUUCACCUUGCAAUCCUGGCUCUUCUGCUUAAAAUAGCAGAGACAAAUCCAUCUCACCAGGAAAAUAACACAAAAUACCGUUUGUGGGUAUUUAAUUUUGCUAUUAUGAACUAGAAAAAAAAAAAAAAAACACCAAACAAAACAACCAAAAGCAGCCAAAGCAGCUGAAUUGAUCUAUCACUACUGGGAUCUGCUGGUUUUUUGUUUGUUAUGUAAACUGCGUGAUGGCCUCGCUUCCUGACGGUGGGAAAAAUCUCCUGAGAAGAAACGUGUCUUUCGCUUCCUCUGGGAAUGCUCAGUACCCUGGAGAUUCUUCUUGCUUGACAUUUCGUUUCUCAAGUGACUACUGGACCUUUGCUCAGAGGAGAUAACAGCCCUUUGUUGAGCUGAUUCACUGCAGUGGCCCAGCCAACACCGUAGGAACUGUUCCAGCGUUCACUAUCCAGAGAGAAUCCAGGUUGUCCACGCUCAGUCAGAGGACACAAGGGACCAUUCCUGCUCAGAGCGGGCGUGCGAGACCCCCACAUGCAACAAUCAGCAGGAAGAAAAGCAAAACCCAUGGAAGGGAAGCAGGAAUCUGCUUUGCCUUUGACAGUCCUUUGAACUGUGCUCUGGCAGCUCCCAGCAAGCCUUCCCCGGGGGGAAAUCAGGCACAUGUGCUUUUGAGAGCAAGAUCCAGGGCUGAUCCUUGCUGCUGCUGCUGCUGUGAAGUUCACAUGGCCACGGCAUUCGACCCAGCUGGAAGAGAGCCCCUGGCUGAUGUGACAGGGCAGCACGUAGCUGUGUGGUCGUGCUGAAUUAGGGGACUUACAUGCAUGUCCCUCACGGCGUGUGCCUGUAAAAACCCAGAGCUCUGGGUGAAACCA